rnacentral:lncRNA from 1 species
GGCAGUCAUAGUCUAUGAUGUGAUUCAGCUUUGUGGAAGUGCUUCUCUAAAGAACAUCCCCCAAUUUAAGAUGAUCUUAAUUUGCUUACUUGUUUACUGUCCAUUUAGCUGCUCUAAAAUGUGAGCUCCAAAUCAGGGGUCAUGUCUGGUUGGUUACCCAUUUCCUGGGUCCUAGAACGGGCCUAGCUCAGAGCAGGUGCUCACUAUUGAUGGAAUGCUUGUUGAAAGAAUGCAUGAAUCUCAUCUCCUUUUGUGGGUGAAAAACUCAUCCUAUUCUCAUUCCUGAUUAACUUUCUUUCUUUUUCUUUUUUUUUUCAAAAGGGAGCCAUGAUCUGUCACCCAGGUGGAGUGCAAUAGUGUGAUCUUAGCUCCCUGCAACCUCUGCCUUCUGGAUUAAAGAAAUUCUGCUGCCUCAGCCUCCCAUGUAGCUGGGAUUACAGGUGCACGCCACCAGGCCCGGCUAAUUUUUUGUAUUUUUAUUAGAGACAGGGUUUCACCAUGUUGGCCAGGCUAGUCUCAAACUCCUGACCUCGUGAUCUGCCCGCUUUGGCCUCCCAAAGUCCUGGGACUACAGGCAUGAGCCACCGUACCCAGCCACUCUUGGUUAACUUAAUGGAAAUAUUUACAGAGAAUCUUUCUCUUCUGGGUUCUAGCAUCUUAUCUGUAACCUCUGCAGGUAGAAGUUGCUGGCCCCAUCUUGCUCACAAUCCUCCAAAGUUUGAAAGUUAUUUUCCAGGAGACUUGGCUUGCACUGAGAGUUGUCCUCCCACCCUCUCUCCAAAUUUCCUCUUGGGGGUAGCCUAACAAGGUACUGUCACAGACCCUUG